AUUGAACGCUGGCGGCAGGCCUAACACAUGCAAGUCGAGCGGAUGAGUGGAGCUUGCUCCAUGAUUCAGCGGCGGACGGGUGAGUAAUGCCUAGGAAUCUGCCUGGUAGUGGGGGACAACGUUUCGAAAGGAACGCUAAUACCGCAUACGUCCUACGGGAGAAAGUGGGGGAUCUUCGGACCUCACGCUAUCAGAUGAGCCUAGGUUGGAUUAGCUAGUUGGAGAGGUAAAGGCUCACCAAGGCGACGAUCCGUAACUGGUCUGAGAGGAUGAUCAGUCACACUGGAACUGAGACACGGUCCAGACUCCUACGGGAGGCAGCAGUGGGGAAUAUUGGACAAUGGGCGAAAGCCUGAUCCAGCCAUGCCGCGUGUGUGAAGAAGGUCUUCGGAUUGUAAAGCACUUUAAGUUGGGAGGAAGGGCAGUAAGUUAAUACCUUGCUGUUUUGACGUUACCAACAGAAUAAGCACCGGCUAACUUCGUGCCAGCCGCCGCCGUAAAAC
rnacentral:rRNA from 1 species